GAUCGGUUCACUGGAGUGCAUUCCGGAUCUUCACUAGCUGAAGAGGAUCGCACUACAUUACUUGGAGGCGACAAAUUGAGGUAAGCAUCGGAUCAAAGUAUGGUGGAGGUCCCUAUUGUCGAUCACCACCCUCUCCAAUUCUUGAAGUGUGGAGGCCACGGGUGAAGAUGGAGGGUUUGUUGAGGUGUGUAUGCGCCCUUGUAGCAUGGACAGGGAAUCAUGGUGGUGAGCUGCUGUAUUGCUACUAAAAAUCUCACGGUAGGUGACU